GAGGGUAUAGCUCAGUGGUAGAGUGCCUGCUUAGCAUGCAGGAGGCCCUGUUCUAUCCCCA
rnacentral:tRNA from 1 species